UAAUCAACAUUUACAUAGUUUGUGUUACCAGUUUUUUUAGCCAAGUCAUACUUGAGGCUAUUUUCACUAUUGUUUUAGUCUUUUUAGACAAAUCUUUUUUUUCCUUCUGUGUAAAUUAUUGAUUAAUGAAUUAUUUUGUCCAUUAUUUUGGGUUAGAUUCUGGUUUACAUUUUUGGGUUUACAGUUAACAUUGACUAAUGUUUACAAUUGUGAUGGCUGUUUGUAUUGGAUUUAAUCUACUGAUUAGAAAGGUUUAAUUUUGUUUGUUUCUUGUGCUCUCAAUCCUUCCAGUGCAACCUAGACGUAUUGAACAGUUGACUAUAAAGUAGACUCUUGCCAGGGAAAAUUAUGUCAAGUGAAGUUAACUGUAAAUGAGUGGUUUUCAUUUUCAUCAUAAUCAUUAGAUAAACAAUAUGUUAUACAAUCAAAGGUUUUACCUGAAUAAUCUGAAUCAAGACAACAUUAAUUUUUCCAAUCACCAUUUUUGGAUGAUAUCUGGCCUCCAAGAGUUAUCUGAAAGUGAUUAAUGUCGGCGUUAAUUUCAAUCAACAGUAAAGAUCAACAUCUACCAAAAUGAUCAUCUUUUUCAUCUCUAGUAGCUUCUUCCUUCCGUUCAAGUCAAGUUUCCGUUCAACAUCAUCCUUUGCAAUUUUGGAUACAAUUUAAUGAUUGUAAUGGCAUCAGAAAAGCCGUUUCAGUUUCAACAGGAAAUACAUAAAAGAACAGAUUAUCAACAGUUGAUAACAAUUUGCUCUUGUAAAUGAUAAUUAUUCUGGCAAAUGGAAAUUCUUAUCCAAGUAUAUUUACAUGUUGAUAUUUUGUUUCAUCUUUACUGGUCAGGCGGUCGUUUGUUUUGUUUUUAAAUUGGUCCAAUUGUUGUAGUUAUUUAAUGAUCAAUAACCUUUUCCCUUUACCACAAACAAAUAUACAAAGUUGUAAAUUUAGCUAGCUUGAAUAAUUAACUUGAUUCAUUGAUCCUUUCAAAUUAAUUUUACACUUGAGUCUAAAGAGUUAUAUGUCUUGAGAUUGCUUCAUUCAAGUAUGCAGAUUGUGAUCAAGAUCAACACUCUUGCCAAGUCGUUAGUCUAAAAAAAGUGGCGAAAGUUGCAAGAACAGGUUGUUAUUAAGACGACAGUAAAACCAUCUUCUUAAUUUUAAUAUUAUAAACAAUUGUUGAGGUUAAUAUUUCGCUCUUUAAAAUGGUUUUUGUUUACCAAAAACCAUUCACGCUCUGUUUAUGAAUAAUCAUUGACACCCAACCCCUUAAACUCCUCUUUUCACACCUUUAACAUCUUUAUCAUUCUCAUCGUCUUCUUAUGCUUUGCCAUUGACAUUACAUUAAUAAUAAUAAUAGUAAUAACAAUCAUAAUCAUAAUCAUCUUUAGUUUCAAAAAUUCAUUCAACACGUUCAUGUUUCAGUCUGCUAAAAAGCUACCAAUACUAAUACAACAUCUAAUAAUAGCUCGAGACACACUCCUUAUUCAUUAAAUUUCAACUUGAUUGUGGAUAGUUAGUUGACAAAAGUAAGCGUUAAUUACAAUUAAAUAUGUCUGCAUUAAUUGUAUGAUAAAUAUUUGGUAACAAUUUAAGAAUAUAAACAUUUUAUAAUCAACUUUCUAGACACGAUUCAUUAAGCUUGUAUCAAGGUUAGCCAUAAAAGAGUUGAUAUUGAAAUGAUAUUCCAUGUUUCAAAGUGCAAAAAAAACAUGGGUUAAUAAAAUUAAAUAAAGAUACUUUCAAGUUUUUAACUAAGAGAAAUUUAGUUUAUUUCGAUAGUUGAUAGGGUGAAGGCAUAUCCUACCAGCCUGUUGAGCUUUUAAGCUAAUAGAUUAAUGUCAAAAUACAAGAGAAAUAGAUCAUUUAA